rnacentral:lncRNA from 1 species
CUGGGUGUUACCGUGAUGGCUAUGUGAUGACACACUGUGGUCCGUACAUGCAGUGGAAUGAUGAUAAGCAGUAACACAACGUCAGGAUUAGAGCUGGCCUCCAAGACCCGUGCA